rnacentral:rRNA from 1 species
UACGAAGGGGGCUAGCGUUGUUCGGAAUUACUGGGCGUAAAGCGCGUGUAGGCGGGUCUUUAAGCCAGGGGUGAAAUGCCAAGGCUCAACCUUGGAACUGCCUUUGAUACUGGAGACCUUGAGUCCGGGAGAGGUGAGUGGAAUUGCGAGUGUAGAGGUGAAAUUCGUAGAUAUUCGCAAGAACACCAGUGGCGAAGGCGGCUCACUGGCCCGGAACUGACGCUGAGACGCGAAAGCGUGGGGAGCAAACAGG